rnacentral:rRNA from 1 species
UACGUAGGUGGCAAGCGUUGUCCGGAUUUACUGGGCGUAAAGGGCGUGCAGGCGGUUUGUUAAGUGCAGGGUGAAAGCUCCCGGCUCAACUGGGAGAGGUCCUUGCAUACUGGCGAACUCGAGGGAGGCAGAGGAAAGUGGAAUUCCCGGUGUAGUGGUGAUAUGCGUAGAUAUCGGGAGGAACACCUGUGGCGAAGGCGGCUUUCUGGGCCUUACCUGACGCUGGAGACGGCGGAAGCGUGGGAGCGAACCGG